rnacentral:rRNA from 1 species
CCCAUCCCGAACACGACCGUUAAGCCCUCUAGCGCCGAUGGUACUUGGACCGCAGGGUCCUGGGAGAGUAGGACGCCGCCAAGC